ACAACACUGAAUGUAUAUCUACACACAUAUCAGUCUUUCCAAGAGAAAACCGGAAUCCUACCACAGGAUGACUACCAAAGAUUCCUACCACUGGAUGACUGAGAAAAUAUCCACAUAAAAAUGAGUAGGAGACACAGAGAUACAUUGUGUACUAAGCUUACCCUGAGCACAGAACCUUACACUGGGAAGGAAAUCCCAACUUCCAAAUUCUUCGUGAGAGGAGGAAGAUCUUCUAACACCUUGAAUCAGCCCUCAGCAAAGAAUUUCAGGCUCUGUUUGUCAUGCUGCAAAGCUCACUCAGGCAUCAGAUUUAGGGGAAGGAAAGCAUGAUUCUCACCUCCUAAAUCCAGGCCUCUUUCCUUAGAUGCAGAAUCAGUGUGAUACAAAGGAGAAUGAGCAACAAACACAUUGUGUUUGGGAGCAAGAUUAAUGCAAGAUUAUGCACCAACCAUUUGGAAACCCAAAGGCAACAUUUUGACUUGGUCCUGUGGACAGCACUUAUCAUCUGACCUUACUUCAUGACCUAAAUGAUUGCUUCAAAGCUUCAUACUGCCCCGGAGGCACCAUGAGCACUGGGCCAAGGAAGCCUUCUUCAAAUUCUGAUGAACCAAAGCAUUUUCAUGACGAGCAUGACAUCCUCCCUGCAAUUAUCACUUCCUGAGCAGUCUGGACAAUACACAAGCUGGAACUGAACCAAGGUGAGAAGAAUAGGUCUAAGAGAGACACAUUCACAGUUCUUUCCUUUCUGGAAAGUUUGGAAGUCCAACCUAAUGGCAGAUAAAUGUGUAGAAAAUUAAGGGAUGCUGUAUUGCCUUGUUGUGUGAGUUCAUGACACGAUGUUUUUAAUCCUAACUCUGAGAAUUGGAAAUGGUAACUGGAAGUUACUUCACAUCAGUCUAUCAGUGAUUGAUUACACAAGCUUAUAUUCAUUAUACUGAGUAGCCUUAAUGUAUGAUUUUCAUUUUGAUGAUGUAAACCUAGAGAAUAUGACAGAGAAAGUUAGCAAAGAAACUCUGAAAUCAAUGAAUGUGUAUGAAUGUUAAUCUUCCCACAUUGGAGCAUUUUGUAUAUAUUUACAUGCAUAUCUAUAUAUAAAGCUGCCCUUGGUAUUGUAAAUAAAGUAUAUUUCAGUUUAAGAACAUACUUACUGUUAAAAUAGAUAUAACUCCAAAUUUCAGUGGAUUAUUCUACAAGUUUACUUUUCUAUCUCAUGAUGCCCAAGCAAAUGUUCCAGAUGGGCAGGUAGCUCUCCUCCAACAAUGAUGUAGAAACCUAGGCUCUUUUUCCUUGUGACUCCAUCAUAUUUAGCCCAUAGAUCAUAAGGUGGUCCUUAGGAUUAUAUUUCUUCCAGGAAGUUAAGGGAAGCAUGGAUAAGAAGGUUUUUAUAGGUGUGGCUACUACUUGCAUUCCACUGGAAAUAUAAGCAAGUAGAAAGACAACAUGGGUUUGGUGAAUAGGCAACUUGUCUCUGCCCCAGAUUAGGUAUUUAUGAUUAAAAUUCAGUAAUUUUCAAAGAGAACUUUGAGGAUAAGGACCCUGUGAUUAAAAAAAAAAGAACAUCUGUGAACAGAGUUUCAGAAGGUGAGAAUUGUGUGGGAUCCACAGAAGAAGACCAGUGUUUACUUUGAUGGCAACAACAAAAAAGCAGGUAUUCCAGCUGGAUUGGAGCCAUAUUACACUAAAGGCUUUCACCACUCCUUAAUGAGGAUUAGCAGGAUUACUCUCAUAGCCUGGCUGCAUGUAGAGCUUUUAAAAAAUAAUGAUUUUACAUAAUUAUACUAUGUUUUAUGU
ensembl:lncRNA